GCCGCUUUAGCUCAGUUGGUAGAGCACAUCAUUCGUAAUGAUGGGGUCACGUGUUCGAGCCACGUAAGCGGCACCA
rnacentral:tRNA from 1 species